AUCAGAAGUCCAAACAUAUAGAAUGACGAUUUUACAUUAUACACAACUAUCUCAAGAAGAAGUAUAUCGAGAUGUAGAAAAUAGACUUCAUAGAUAAUAUGUCAUAUCCACUAACUAAGCCGUUUAGCCAGCAGAAGACUAAAGCCCAUCUUAAGAAGAUGGAGCUUAGGUAAAUGGCUGAUUGACUUUAGUGCAAGUAGAAGAUUAUUAAAUGUAUGUA
rnacentral:lncRNA from 1 species